rnacentral:rRNA from 1 species
GGGCUUGACAUCCCACGAACCUGCCCGAAAGGGUAGGGUGCCCGCAAGGGAGCGUGGAGACAGGUGGUGCAUGGCUGUCGUCAGCUCGUGUCGUGAGAUGUUGGGUUAAGUCCCGCAACGAGCGCAACCCUCACCCCUAGUUGCCACCGGGUAAUGCCGAGCACUCGAGGGAAACUGCCAGCGUCAAGCUGGAGGAAGGCGGGGAUGACGUCAAGUCAUCAUGCCCCUUACGCCCUGGGCUACACACGUGCUACAAUGGCCAGUACAAAGGGAUGCGAGACCGUAAGGUGGAGCUAAUCCCAAAAAGCUGGUCUAAGUUCAGAUUGCAGUCUGCAACUCGACUGCAUGAAGGAGGAAUCGCUAGUAAUCGCGCAUCAGCACGGCGCGGUGAAUACGUUCCCGGGCCUUGUACACACCGCCCGUCACGCCACGAAAGCUGGCUGUACUCGAAGUCGCUGAGA